rnacentral:rRNA from 1 species
GAUGAACGCUAGCGGCAGGCCUAAUACAUGCAAGUCGAGGGGUAGGGAAGAGCUUGCUUUUCUUGAGACCGGCGCACGGGUGCGUAACGCGUAUGCAACCUACCUUUAACAGGGGGAUAGCCUCUCGAAAGAGAGAUUAACACCGCAUAAAAACACAGUAUGGCAUCGUACAAUGUUCAAAUAUUUAUAGGAUAAAGAUGGGCAUGCGUGACAUUAGCUAGUUGGUGAGGUAAGGGCUCACCAAGGCGACGAUGUCUAGGGGAUCUGAGAGGAUGACCCCCCACACUGGUACUGAGACACGGACCAGACUCCUACGGGAGGCAGCAGUAAGGAAUAUUGGUCAAUGGGGGCAACCCUGAACCAGCCAUGCCGCGUGCAGGAAGACGGCCCUACGGGUUGUAAACUGCUUUUAUACGGGAAUAAACCCCUUUACGUGUAAAGGGUUGAAUGUACUGUAAGAAUAAGGAUCGGCUAACUCCGUGCCAGCAGCCGCCGUAA